rnacentral:rRNA from 1 species
CGCGGCCUAUCAGCUUGUUGGUGGGGUGAAGGCCUACCAAGGCGAUUACGGGUAGCCGGCCUGAGAGGGCGACCGGCCACACUGGAACUGAGACACGGCCCAGACUCCUACGGGAGGCAGCAGUGGGGAAUAUUGCACAAUGGGCGAAAGCCUGAUGCAGCGACGCCGCGUGAGGGAUGACGGCCUUCGGGUUGUAAACCUCUUUCAGCUCCGAAGAAGCGAGAGUGACGGUAGGAGCAGAAGAAGCGCCGGCUAACUACGUGCCAGCAGCCGCGGUAAUACGUAGGGCGCAAGCGUUGUCCGGAAUUAUUGGGCGUAAAGAGCUCGUAGGCGGCUCGGCAAGUCGGCUGUGAAAUCCCGAGGCUCAACCUCGGAACUGCAGUCGAUACUGUUGUGGCUAGAGUCUGGUAGAGGAGAAUGGAAUUCCCGGUGUAGCGGUGAAAUGCGCAGAUAUCGGGAGGAACACCAGUAGCGAAGGCGGUUCUCUGGGCCAGUACUGACGCUGAGGAGCGAAAGCGUGGGGAGCAAACAGGAUUAGAUACCCUGGUAGUCCACACCGUAAACGUUGGGCGCUAGGUGUGGGGUCCUUUCCACGGAUUCCGUGCCGUAGCUAACGCAUUAAGCGCCCCGCCUGGGGAGUACGG